rnacentral:lncRNA from 1 species
GGUGCUGGUCUCACAGGGCUUAGUGCUGAGCCAGACAGCCAUGGUCCCUCCUGAGGGCUGAAGUGGGGUCUUAGCCCUGGGCCUUCCCCUUCCUCACCCAGCCUCCACUGCUGCUGCGUUGCCCGGGCCUGGGGUAGGAGGUGUGCAUGGUGAGGAGGCUCAGGCUGCCUAAACUGAGUGCCUGCCAUGUGCCGGCCACUGCUGGAUGUGGACACUGCAGAGUCCACUGUGGGGCUCCCUCUCUGCUAAGGAAAAUGUAGACAAGACCCGGCAGUGUGGCAUGGCCACGUGUGCACGCACAUACAGAUACACACACACAUAGACACAUAUAUACACACAGAAACGUAUAUACACCCACAUACAGGCACAUAUACACACAUACCAACACACACAUACACACAUGCACACAUAUAUGCACACACAUAUAGACACACACAGCCACACAUACACAUACACAUAGAUACAGACACACAUACAGACUCAUACGCAAAAAAAUACAUAGUCACACACACAUGCACACAUAUAAACACACCUACACACACAGACACAUACCCAGACAUACAUAUACACACACAAGGGAAAGACAAAAGGGAUUAAAGAAUUAGGGAUUUAGGGAAACAGAAGCUUUGAUAGUCUGUAUCAAAAAUGUUUGGCUGGGCGUGGCGGCUCAAGCCUGUAAUCCCAGCACUUUGGGAGGCCAAGGCAGGCAGAUCACCAAAGGUCAGGAGUUUGAGUCCAGCCUGGACAACAUGGUGAAACCCUGUCUCUACUAA